AAUUAUUUGCAACUUAGAUACUGAUUUAUUGACAUAAGAGCAGUAUAAUAGAAUAUAGAGAGAAAUUUUCUCACUUUGAUUAAUAAAUUUUGGUCUGGUAAAAUGAUAUACGGUAAUUCAAAAUAACGUAAAUCAAGAGAUUUCUAUAUGUUUAUAUAUGCACCCACCCAGCCACGCAAUACAUUAUCCUGUUUUGUGUAAUGUAUGGUAUAUCAUUCAUUGAUUGGGUCAAUCAGUAGUAUCUUAGAUAUUUUGAAAUAAGUGACUGAUUAUAAGACAAGAAUUUUAAAUAAAUUCUAUUAUUUUGAUAUACUAUAAUAAUGGAAUUUGAAGAUUAUGAAAAAGAAUUUAAAUUAUGGUUUUUUGGGUAAAUCGAAACGGUAGAUGGCUUACUCACUUUUUAUAUUGGAGAAAGAAGAAUGUGAUGAGAAGCAAAUAGGGAUGUUGAGAAUCAAUGCAGAUUCUGAUGUAAAGAUGAUAAUGGGCCAUUUUGUAUGCAUGUUUCUAAGGAAUAAUUCAUUUCUGCAAUUCUGCAACUCUCUCUCUCCUAUCCUGUUGUUAGCCCUAGAAAAAUAUAGGAAAGAAUGAGGAAAGAGAAUAGGGUUCUAUCAUAACUCUAGUAUAGCAAGAUACUAAUGAAAUGAAGGAUGAAGUGAAAUGACUAUAGGAAAGCAUGAAGAAAGAAAAAGGAUCUUGCCAGAAAUAUCAUAAGUUAUUAGUGGAAAAUAGAGAGCUAUUAAAUAAAAAGCAAUUAAACUGUUUAAUUGCUUAUUACAACAUUCAGGAUAGCUAAUGGAUGAAUUCUGCUCCUAUUCAAGAGAAACUAAUAUUUUAAACUAUAUAUUAUCUAUGGAUAUUGAUUGUUG
rnacentral:lncRNA from 1 species